CUAAAGAACGCGGCGGGCAAACUCGUCCAAAAUCGCGGGAAACGCGCAUUCUACUUUAGGAGGUCCGCGAGGUGCACCUAUAAUUCAUUAUUAUCAUAACAAUUGAGGUGGCCAAGGAGACAGAAAUCAGUAUUAAGUGGAGGUCCUCGUGGCACGGAAGCCGAUACUCGUGCUCCGGGUGAGAUAGACUGCGUCGUUUGCGAAAAAAGAGAUAACCCUUGAAACUCGAGGCACGCUGCUAGUGCUAGCGCGGUGAUGGAAAUUGUUUUUAACUCGUGAGCCUCUACCACUGGUAUUCCGUGACUUUCAUAGGCAGUUGCCGUUGAAGGAGUCGAUGCACUUGCAUCGUUCACGACGUUCAGGACAUGAGAAUCUGAAAAUGCCAUACUGAUCGCCGAGUUAUGAAUUCCAUUAGCACAGAGGUCACAAAGGCAUCCGUGUCAGCUCAUGCACAGUCUGGCAAGAGCACCGUCGCUGCGAGCGAGGAUGCGUGUAACGGUCAAGAAAGCUCAUACGUCAAUUGCAACGGUUUGCUCGGCAGAAGCCGUUAUGGUAGAAUGUUAAAACCCACGCCUAACAUGAAUAACGCUGUUAUUUUAGCACAGAAGAUGCCAAAGACACGUAGACAAUGGAACUCUACUACUAUGGAUAAUGAAAGUAUAGGUGAAAAUAAUACCACUAGCAGCAUCGAUGAAACUGCUGGUUCUACUAGUAAUGAUGUAGCGGAGGAUAUCUUGCCUUCAAAAGUCACUGCUAAUGUUGAAUGCCACUGGAAGGUAGGACAAUUAGCAUGGGCAAGAGUCGGCAACUUCCCAUUUUGGCCUUGUGUCGUAACAUUGGAUCCAACUACAAUGACAUACCAUAAAUUACGAAUCGCAACUAGAUCAAAUAUCUUAAUGAUACACGUUCAGUAUUUUGGAGACAAAGAACGGCAUAAUUGGGUUUCUGCAAAUUGUGUGAUGGAAUUUACGGGUCUCGCUGAUUUUCUGAAGUUAUCGGAAUCACUGACGGCGGAAAUGAAGAAAAAGGACGCGAAAUAUGCUGCGGCUUUUAUCGUGAAACAAGGAGCACAAAGGAAAUGGGACAAUGCCGUUGAGGAAGCGACAGCGGUGAAGCAUAUGACAAUUGAACAGAGAGCCGAGACGUUUGCACCAAAAAUUAAAGUCUCAAGAACUAGGGAGAGAAAGACAUCGAAUGUUGAUGAGAAAAACAAAAAUAAGAGAAAAUAUUCGAAUGAGCAAGAUAAUGGACCUGAUGCGAAACGCGCUAAAUACGAUAAUGUAUUUGAUGCAGAAAAAUCGGAAGUGUCGAAGACACGUAAAUCAGAAGCAUCAAAGUCGAGAACAUCACGGGUUGUAAAUGGGAAAACCGAUUUGAAAUUAUACUCGGAUUCUUUGCCUUCGAGUCAUAAAGGUAGCCAAGACAACACGAGAGUCGACCGAAAAGAGGAAGAUGAGGAUGGUGUGUUCGAGGUCUAUUACGAGCGAAAUAAAGAUUUGUUGGUGGAUGAAUAUCCAAACGCGUCGGAACAAGACAUUAAAAAGUAUUUGCGGAAAACUUGGGACAAUAUGGAUACGACUUUUCGAAAGAAAUAUCGAUCGUACAUGACGCGCGACAGCAGUAGUUCGCAAUCGCAGAAAGAAAAUUCUUCCGAUCACGAGGACGACACAUCGAUCGAAACUGACACGAGUGUGAAGGAAACAAACAAGAGAAUGAGAAGUAAGGUUGACAAAGAGGAAAGUUCUGUUUCAGAAGCGAAACGUGGUAGACGGUAUAAUAUCUUUAAAGGUUUGAAGCAGGAGAAAGUUUGUCAAAUUUGCGAGAAGACGGGGAAACUAACGAGAUGUAAGGGACCUUGUUAUUCCUACUUCCAUCUAUCUUGCGUGAAACCUGGGGAAUCUAGUCCAGAGCACUCUGGUGACGAGAAUAUCACGGACGAUAAGAUACUCGAUGACUUGAACGUAAUCAAGAGAAGCAUUAACGGCGAACAUGAGAAUAGCGUAGGUAAAACUGAGGAUCAAGAGGACGAAAUGUUCAAAUGCAUCGAUUGCUUAUCUGGCGUAGCACCCGCUUGUUUCAUAUGCAACGAGAGAGAAGGAGAUCGUAUCAGGUGUAUCGUGCCGGCCUGCGGAAAGCAUUAUCAUUCCAAGUGUUUAAAUUCGUGGCCUCAGUCGCAUUGGCAAGGUGGACGUUUGACGUGUCCGUAUCACGUGUGCCACACCUGCAGCUCCGACAAUCCUCAGGAUAAUCACUCACGUGCUCCGAAUGAAAAAAUCGCAAGAUGCGUUCGCUGCCCCUCAUCUUAUCACGCGUCCACGUCAUGUCUGCCUGCUGGUUCAACGAUUCUGACGGCUAGCCAAAUUGUAUGCCCAAAGCACUACAAAGCACCAUAUCCUCCGUUGAAUGCAGCGUGGUGCUUUUUGUGUACACGUGGCGGCAGUCUCAUUUGUUGCGAUACGUGUCCUACUUCUUUUCAUUUGGAAUGUCUCGGUAUAAAUGCACCUGACGGUGGAUUUUUCUGCGAAGACUGUGAGACAGGGAGGCUGCCCUUGUACGGAGAAGUCGUGUGGGUGAAACUCGGUCAUUAUCGGUGGUGGCCAUCUCGUAUAUGUUAUCCGCAGGAAAUCCCUGAAAAAGUAAAGGCUAUAUCUCAUAGUCCUGGUAAAUUUUGCGUAAUGUUUUUGGGGUCUAAUGAUUAUUAUUGGGUGCAUAGAGGCCGAGCUUUUUUGUAUCAGGAUGGGGACGCAAAUAUGAAACUACCUAUAGGUAAAAAGAUGGAUAAUAAAUUUCGAAUAGCUUUAAAAGAAGCAAACAAAUUACAUCAGCAGUUGAAAGAACAGCGAUCUAUAACUAAAGAACCGAAAAGAUUGAAGCCGCCUCCAUAUGUAAAAUUAAAAGUUAACAAACCAGUGGGCAACGUGAAACCGGCCGAAGUCGAAAGUAUCGUGGCAUGCGAGUGCGAUCCUAAUUGGGAUAAUCCCUGCGCACCUGGUACCGAUUGUCUGAACCGUAUACUGUUGGUCGAAUGUAGUCCGGGAAUAUGUCCAGCCGGACCAAAAUGUAUGAAUCAGUCGUUUGUUCUUCGGCAAUAUCCGGAGAUGAAGCCAUUUCAUACAGUGGGCCGUGGUUGGGGUCUGAGAACGUUAGAGGAUAUCAAAGCGGGACAAUUUGUUAUCGAAUACGUCGGUGAAGUCAUAGAUGAAGCAGAGUAUAAGUGUAGACUGCAUCGAAAGAAGGAACUGAAAAAUGAAAAUUUUUAUUUUCUUACGAUCGACAACAACAGAACGAUUGACGCGGAACCCAAGGGGAAUUUGAGCCGAUUUAUGAAUCAUUCAUGUGCACCGAACUGCGAGACGCAGAAAUGGACGGUGAACGGAGACACGCGUAUUGGUCUGUUCGCCUUACGUGACAUAGAAUCCGGCGAGGAGCUGACGUUUAACUACAACUUGGCGUCCGAUGGGGAAACGCGGAAGCCGUGCCUCUGCGGUGCACCAAAUUGUAGCGGCUUUAUUGGUUUAAAGGCACAAAAGCAGUCAAUUGUACAAUCACCUGUGCAAUCGAAAGCAAUUGUACAACCAAGGAAAGACAAGUCGAGACGAAGAAGUUCUCGUUGCUCUUCCAUGAGUAGGAGAAAGCUCUUGUGCUGGCGAUGCGGACAAGAAAUAUUGGAUUCAAGCAGAUCGAUCAUUUGUUCGCGAAGAACAUGUAAGAGAAAGUAUCACGUAACGUGCGUAAAAAUCGACGACACGCAACCCAACUUCAAUUGCCCUUGGCAUCACUGCCUAGAAUGCGACCGUCGAACGACGAUACAUUGUUCUUUCUGCAGCACUGCCUUCUGUCAAGUACAUUUCGACGGUAACUUAUUUGAUGAUAGUGAGAGGGGUAUCGUAUGUAAGGUGCACGAGAACGUGGAUCUACAGAAGACUGUCGAAGAUGAGAAAGAAGAUUCGGAUAAUGAUAACGAGACGGAUAAAGAGUACUCGUCCACGAGUUCCAGUAGUCCGAUCGUAAUGGAAAAAAUAGCGACGCGAGAACCAUCACCAAGGGUUUCUAUUAUAGAGUUGAAUUUGAUACGGAUAAUGGUAGUUUGUGAAUGAGUGUAUCACUCUCAACUAAUACUAGAUACUACUAGAAGAAGCAAAUUUAUUCCAAAUUAUUAUUUGCAGAAUAACAUGGUUCAGCCAAGCAGCGAAGAGAGUGAAGAAUCCCA
rnacentral:misc_RNA from 1 species